rnacentral:rRNA from 1 species
AACGAACGCUGGCGGCGUGCCUAACACAUGCAAGUCGAACGAGAAAGGGGCUUCGGCUCCGAGUAAAGUGGCGCACGGGUGAGUAACACGUGGGUAACCUGCCUCUAAGAUUGGGAUAACUCGUCGAAAGAUGAGCUAAUACCGAAUAAGACCACAGUUCCCGCGGGAACAGGGGUCAAAGGUAGCCUCUGCUUGCAAGCUAUCACUUAGAGAUGGGCCUGCGCACCAUUAGCUAGUUGGUAGGGUAACGGCCUACCAAGGCAAAGAUGGUUAGCUGGUCGGAGAGGAUGAUCAGCCACACUGGAACUGAGACACGGUCCAGACUCCUACGGGAGGCAGCAGUGGGGAAUAUUGCGCAAUGGGCGAAAGCUUGACGCAGCAACGCCGCGUGAGUGAUGAAGGCCUUCGGGUCGUAAAGCUCUGUCGGGAGGAACGAAUGCUCCUGAGGUUAACAGCCUCGGGAGGUGACGGUACCUUCAAAGGAAGCACCGGCUAACUCUGUG